AAGCUGUCUUGGUAAUAUUUAAUUGAAUUUAAUUUUUUAUUUAAAAAGUUAAAAUAAUUUAAAAAGACGAGAAGACCCUAUAGAGUUUUAUAUUAAAUUAAAUUAAAAUUAUUUAUAUAAUUAUUAAUAUAGAUUUAAUUUUAGUAUUUUGUUGGGGUGACAAAAAAAUAAAUAAAACUUUUUUUUAUUAUUUACAUAAAUAAAUGAAUUUUUGAUCCAAUUUUAUUGAUUAAAAGAAAAAAUUACCUUAGGGAUAACAGCGUAAUUUUUUUUUUUA
rnacentral:rRNA from 1 species